AUUGAACGCUGGCGGCAGGCCUAACACAUGCAAGUCGAACGAGUGGCGGACGGGUGAGUAAUGUCUGGGAAACUGCCUGAUGGAGGGGGAUAACUACUGGAAACGGUAGCUAAUACCGCAUACCAUCGGAUGUGCCCAGAUGGGAUUAGCUAGUAGGUGGGGUAAAGGCUCACCUAGGCGACGAUCCCUAGCUGGUCUGAGAGGAUGACCAGCCACACUUGAACUGAGACACGGUCCAUACUCCUACGGGAGGCAGCAGUUGGAAAUAUUGGACAAUGGGCGCAAGCCUGAUGCAGCCAUGCCGAUUGUAUUAAUAAUGCCUUCGGGUUGUAAGGUACUUUCAGCGGGGAGGCGUUACCCGCAGAAGAAGCACCGGCUAACUCCGUGCCAGCCGCCGCGGUAAUAC
rnacentral:rRNA from 1 species